rnacentral:tRNA from 1 species
GGCUUUAUAGUCAAUAAUGAUAUUAGACUGCAAUUCUAAAGUAAUAAUUUAAUUUAUUAAAGCU